rnacentral:lncRNA from 1 species
UAAGGAGGCGCCGGCAACGGUGUUAAGGGCGCACAGUCCGCAGUAAUCGACUGCAUUCUAUUGUUCCUUUCUCGUUUGAUUAAAGUAGCUGAUCUGAUGCGCGGUAUUAUUAUUCUUGGCGUCUUAAGAUUAUGAGGUAGUUAGCCAUAAAGUAUCAUUCAUCCUUUUGUUGGCCUAUUGCCUACUCUGUCGUGUACCAGCAGUAUUAUUUUGGAGCCGAGACCUUGAUAUUUCAGACUUGGUUGGGUGAAUUGGUCGUGUGUGUGCUGUUGCAUUUUCCAUGACGAAAUCAUCAUAUAGCAUUAUUAUUUAAUCUUUGUGCUGCUCAGCAACUUGAGGCCUUCCUAUUUGUAUCAGAUCUGUCAGUCAGGAUCGUUGUAUGACUGGAACGUGUUAAUGGAAUUUACUCUUGUUAAUGGCUCGAUGGCAUCUGGGCACCAAUAGUAAAGCGAAGACUUUGUGGAAACUGCCAGGCGCAGGACGCACCACCGUUCCUGGCUGUUGCUUCCGGGUCUUGCUCACCAGUCACCACGGCCGGUGCGGCAUUGCCGUUCGCAUAUCGUUGUUCCCGAAAUCCUUGAGUUGUACCGGCAAGCAGCUCAGUCCCGCGCAAGUGGGCACACGGAACAGUAACCACCACCUCCCUGCAGGAAGGUGUUGAACUAAGCAGCCCGAUUGAUUGAAGGAGUCUUGCUCUCGAUGACAUCUACUUAACGGCUAGUUGUUGAGGUGUAGUCCUCGUCUCUGAGCACGACAGCUGCCUCUUCCAAACUCGCGUGGCCGUGUGUAUCUUAUGUUGUAAAAUAAAACAACAACAACUAGAAGAAGAAAAUUAUCGUUUGGCCGGACUGCAUAUUAUGCUUCCUAUACAACUGGAGUUCUGAAUUGGCCUGGUGGCAUUUGGACGGUCGCUGUAUGGUUAUGUCUACUAUAGCGUUAUACCAAUGCAAGCCAUCCAUGUGUUGGUGGUCUCACCAGCUUGCAAAUAUCUAACUGGCUGCAGAAUUUCGCGCGGAUUUGUUAAUUCCGGAGAUCCUAACAACACCAUCAGCUUUAUUUCUUUUUUAGCUCCGCAUGGUGACGAUAUCUUUUGUUUAGAGAAAAAAUAAAACGUAGGCCUCCAUAAGAAAUCCACUAUUUAUAGUCGCGCGCACCACCUUCCCUCCCCAGCCUUGAGCCUUGUCUGGUGCUUGUAGAGAGGAGUAGAGCCAUGGAGUCUGACACGAUCCAUGCACCCGCCACCUCCUCUUCCUCCUCCUACUCAUCCGACUCGGCUGUCAUCAAUGGCGCACAGGACGUUUCCAAGGGUGAGCCCAAGCAUCUGAAGCGCAAGAGACAGACCGCCACCUCUCCUGCUGCUCCAGCCACCGGCAGCCAAGAGGCGGAGUCUGCCGACGGCGCCUCCCGGGGUGAGGAGAGCAGCAGCUGCGCCGCCGCCGCGGACGAGCGCACGGCCGGAAGGCACCCGUCGUACCGCGGCGUGCGGCGCCGGAGCUGGGGCAAGUGGGUGUCGGAGAUCCGAGAGCCGCGCAAGAAGUCGCGCAUCUGGCUCGGCACCUUCCCGACCGCGGAGAUGGCCGCGCGCGCGCACGACGUCGCCGCGGUCGCCAUCAAGGGCCACCGCGCGCACCUCAACUUCCCGCACCUCGCCGACGCGCUCCCACGCCCGGCGUCCACCUCCCCCGCCGACAUCCAGGCCGCGGCCGCCCUGGCCGCCGCCCAAUGCGAGCCUCCCUCCUCCGUCGCCGAGACCACGGAGACGCCGACGACGUCGACCGAGACAUCGGCCGCGAGCUCCGGUACGGCCGGCUGCGGCGAGGAGAACGCUCUGUUCGACCUGCCCGACCUUCUGCUGGACCUGAGGGACGGCCUCUGGUGCUCGCCUACCUGGGCGACGGCCGCCGACGAGUACGACGGCGGCGAGGCCGCGCUGCAUGAGCCGCUGCUGUGGGUGGAGCAGUGCUGGACCUAGCCGCUCCGUUGUGACGCGCGGGCCAUGCCUGGCCAGAAGAGAACACCCGUAGACAUGGGCAUGUACACUAGCGUUUCAUUUUUCCAAUUAAUUUGCGCUUUUGCUUCGCGCCAUGCCAGGCCUGUCAUCUUGGGGUGGCAAGUCGUUUUAGCUAGACAUUUCACCGUUUUGUUCACGGUGUGUACUGUAUCCCGAAAUGUGAAAUCCAAACCUCUCAAAAAAGAAAAGAAGUGAAGGAAAUACGAAAUACCCCCUCUAAACUUUUAUAGUGACCUAAAACAUCUUAUAAAAGUUUACAGAGGGAGCACAAUCUACUUCCUCGGUCUCGAAGUCUCAAACACUCGAUCAAUAAUAAUGUCCUUAUGUUCAAGAAAGGUAUAUUUCCACACUGUAAUCCUUCCUUUGGUUUUAACAACUGAACUACACAUUCGCCAGCACAAUCACCUAUCAAUUCGAGGUUACGAAAGCAGUGAAGCCCCCUCUCAUUGAGAGGGUUGGAUGUCGAGCAGUGGCCCUGGGUUGGUGAUGUUUUGUGUGACGAGGCGGCGGCCUUGGGAACCAUUGCAGGUAGCAACUCUAUGAGGCCGGCGGUGUCUUGACAAUGGCUUGCUUGACAAAUCAUUUGCUGCUAGUGCGGUGGGGUUCUCGGCUCGGUUGAUGCGCCUUGGAGGGGUGGUCAGACUAUAUGUUGAGAUGACCACCACGGAUGUGUUGGUGAGACGGUCAGGGUCUGUAGGGCGUCUUCCUUGGGGAAAUACCCAAUGGUUCCUGGGUACAUAUGUAUCUUAUAUGGAGAAUUUUUUUAAUGAUUAAACAAAAAGUCAAAAUAGUUAAGAAACUAUUUUUAGAGUAAACUUGACUUACUUGCGCACUAGUAUAUGAAUUUUCACAAAAAAAGAAACUACGUUGACUUCACAGCGAAAAAGACAAAAAAUAUUUGCUAUUAUAGGUCACUGUUCAUGCUUUUUUGACUGAAAAUUUGUCUUUUUUGAAAAGAAGUCAAAGAGGAAUUUUAUUUUGUUGGAACUUUUCUUACUAGUACAAUGGAAGGUCAAGUUUUUUUUCAAAAAUAUUUUUAGAAAUUUUUGACUUUUUAUUGAAUUACUAAUUUUUUUCUUCAUAUAGGGUACAUAUGUACCCAGGAACCAAACGUUCCCGUCCGUCUUCCUUGUGUAGCUUGCUGCAAGCAGUUGUGUUGUGCGUCGCUGCAACUCGGUGGCGAGCAGAGGUAUGCUGGGGCAAUGACCCUGGAAGGUGGUGUCGAAGAACUAUGCUCAAUGUUCCGAAGAGGUUAGGAGACUUAACAUGUAUGGUAUUGGCCUUGUGGAGUGUUUGCUUUGUCACCUCUGCACAAGAUUUCAAGUCUGCUCCUCCCAUUGCAGUCUCGUCUUCUUCUGUCUGGCCGCGGUGAGAGCUAGUUUCGAUGAAAUAGGUUUCCGUUCAUUGUGUUUAUGAGGUUGGUAUGCUUUUGUCGAUUUUAAUUCGGUGUCAACGAGGGUGAGGUUGACCAUAAAUGUAUAAAUUUUCACCCGAUUUUUACAAUUAACCGGGUAACCAAUUUUUUAAUUAAUGGAACAGACAAAGCUUUUGGUUUGGUUCAAUAAAAAUUAAUGGGAUAAUAAUAACCUCUUCAACUACAAGCAUGUGGCGUAUUAAGGAUACCGGUUAACAAAAAAAAAGUUGACAUGUAAAACAGUCGUUAAAUUUUACCUUGAUACUUGUAAUCUGAAUUUGUGGCCUUGUAUAAGAAAAUGGCACGUCUGUUUAGUACCCAUGUUGACUAGCUAUAUGGCAAGCAUGUGUCAUGUAGUAAAAGUGAAUGAAAAUUUCACCGGUAGGUAUGAUAUUUCAAAGUUUAGCACCAUGCUUUAUUAAUACAACAUAAUUAUUUCCUUAUUUACUUAUUUGUAUAAAGAGAAAAGUCCAUUUUAACAGUCAUCGCAUAACGCAAAAUGGAUUCAUAAUAAUUAGGACCAUCCUAAAAUUCUACCACAACACCAAACACAACUAUAUUCUGAUCACUCCCGACUUAGUUUCCCAUUCGAUAUCAUACUUUUCAUCGUAUUUAUGAUUUGACGCUCAAUAUUAUGGCCUCAGUACUCAAGAACAAAAGGCACGUGUUUACACCAAAAUCUUUCACUAAGUCUUACUUUUUUCUUCAAAAAGGAGGUUAAAACCUCCUGCCUUUGCAUCAAUGCGAUGCAUACAACCAUUUUUAUUAAUUAUUCAGCAGAGUACAAAACGAAGGCAAUCAUGGCUGAGCCAUUAGAAAAUAUGAAAUUAACACCUACGAUUAAGUCGAGUUCUUUCGUAGCAGCGCCUUCAAGAAGAUAUACACUCGUCGCUGCUGAGCCCGAUCAAUUAUGGUCAGGACAAGAGUUUUCACCCCGGAAAUGAAGCGGUGUUCCAAUCAGCAUCUUGAUGAUAGAUCAUUAGAUAGUCGCCUUCGUCAGGACUCCACGCCAGUGCCAAACGACACUAGCAGAUUGGUGGGAUGCCUUCCCACCUUAAACCACCGUCACGGCCGUCGGGUGGAUGCUCAUGUCUCAACGUGGAACUGGCCGCUGCUACUCCACACCGGCGCCAGUCACACUGCAACAUGCUCCAUACCGUUGGAGCCGCUUCUUCGGAGCUAGAAGUCGACGGGGAACCACCACUGUGCCCCUUGCUCACUAGCGUGUGUGACGCCCCGAGACCGAUAUGCCAGGCGUCUUCCAGUUAUUCGCUGUUGUUGUCUUGUCAUUCGCUUGCGUGUUGCAUCUUGUCAUGUCAUCAUGUGCAUUGCAUCAUCACGUUUUCAAAACUUGCAUCCGUUCCGGUCUCCUCGUUCUUUCCGUUGUUCGUUCUAAGCCCGACCAUACUUGCACGCGCCCACGGCUUGUCCGAAAUAGUAUUUUAUAAGUGGCCGGAAAAUGUUCUUGGAUUGGGUCGAAAGAUGGCGUGUGGUCUUAUUAUAGUGUAGAUAGACCACCUGUCAAGUUUCAUCGCAUUCGGAGUUCGUUUGAUAGCCUAACCGUUAAACUAUAGCGGCAUUAUAGCAGGUCUAACGUCGGACGUUUUCAGUCUUCAGAAACAGUCGCGGGCCUCUCUCUCUUCUCUUCUCUCAGCUCGAGCCCUUCUGCACAGCCCACAAGUUCCAACCAACCCCUCGCGUGCGUGUCCGAAACUUCCCCGGACCCGACCCGGACAGUUGUCACCGUUGGGUCCAGAUCAUCCCCAAACAUCUACAAAAUGUCUCCGUUUCUUAUUUAGAUUUUCCUAGCCUAUCUAUUCUCAACCGUCGGAUUUUGAUCGGAUGAUCCAACUCCCCCUUUUUUUCCAUAUAUAUAUAUAGGCCCUGUUUGGAUACUCUAACAUAGUUAGAGUUAGAGUUAUUUUCUAACCCACUCUAACCCAAAUAAGCAUCUCUCCACCGGGAUAGUUGGGUUAGAUGGAACUAACCCACUCUAACUCUCUCUGUUUGGAUACUUUUGGAUUAUUUAAGACUCCAACUAACCCAAACUAGCUCUAACCCCAUGAUUCAAACAGGGCCUAUCCCUAGUCCAUUUUGGACAACCCUAAUUUCUAGGGAUCCUACCCUAACGCCGCCGCCCACUUUCUCCUCAAUUUCAGCGCCAGGCCAAUCACCUCACUCCGUCCAUCUCCCUCGAUUUGCGUCGCCACCCAACCACUGCGAAAGCCGAAGCCUCCAUCUUCCCCGAUCCAAAAGCCUCCACCUCCUCCCUUCGAUUCGUCGUCGUACAGAUCGAGCAGGACGCUCGAUCCCCAGCCACCUCUCUGCCCGAGCCCCUCCUCUGCUCCCAGACGCCUGCACCCCGCUAAUCCCCGCGUCGCCCCGUCGCUCGCCGGAGACCAGGGUCGCCGGAGGCCGCGGCCACCUCUCCGUCCAGCAGGUUCACCGCGUCGGACUCCGCCGACUCGCCGGACUCCACGUGCAGGCCUGCCUCGAUGCCCCUCUCCUUCCCUUUCGUCUCGCCCUCGCCUGUUCACCAUCUCCCUCUCUCCUGCAGGAACCCGGGAGCUCGAAGCCAUGACCGCCGCCGCCUCGGAUCCUUCUCAUCUGUCGCCGGAGCUCCGUCCACUGCUGCAUCGCCCGGAUUCGGUCGCGCGGGACCGGAUCCAUCUAUUCCCGCUUCGUCUCUGGCCCCAGUUGCCUCCCAGCGCCCUCCCUCAUCGCCGGAGUUUGCCGGCGUCGUUAGCUUCAGUUCCCUGCUCCAGAUCGAGCGAACGAGAAGACCGCGCGCGUUGACCCCGCGAUCAAGGCCCGCCUCCAGUGUCAUCGUGGGCCGCGUGAGCAAGGCCUAGCCCAGCCGCUGAUAGAUCCUAACCGCACCACCGAACGGGCCAAGCCCGUGGGUGAGCAGGCCCUCCCUCCAGCCUCCUGUGCAUCUGGACCAGCAGUUUUGGCCCAUGUCAUGUCUUUUUUCCUCUAGACGAUUUUGUCUAUUAUCCAGAGUUUUGCCAGUUUUACAGUAUAGCCCCUAAACAUCAUGCAUUUUAUAACUCUCCAACCGUGCAUCGGAUUAAAACAAACUUAAUAUGAAACUUGCUUAGAAUUUCAUCUACUUUAAUAAUAUGCAAAUUUCAUCUAUGUUUAAAAUGUUUAAAAUAUUGUUUGAUUAAAUUUGCUCCUAUGCCAUGUUAAAAAUGAUUUAAUUCAUAACUAAAUAACCGUAGCUCCGAUUUUAAUAAACUUUAUAUGGAAAUGGGGUGGAAAAAUGUCUAGUUUAUCAUGGUGGAAUCACUUUGCAUCAUGCCAUGUUCAUGUGUUGGCUGUUUACUAUGUUGUGUGCUUCUUUCUGGUGUUGCUUCUUCAGGUUGGUUCCAAUAACGUCGCGUUUGUGAGGACCCAUUCGACUACGUCCAUUUGUCUUCUUCAUGGACUCGUUCUUCUUCCUUGCGGGAUUUCAGGCAAGAUGACCAUAUCCUUGAAAUCACUUCUAUCUUUGCUUGCUAGAUGCUCGCUCUUUUUUUAUGUCUAUGCUGCGAUACCUACCACUUGCUUAUCAUGCCUCUCAUAUUGUUAAGCCAAGCCUCUAACCACCUUGUCCUAGCAAACCGUUGUUUCGCUAUGUUACCGCUUUGCUCAGCCCCUCUUAUAGUGUUGUUAGUUGCAGGUGAAGAUUGGAGUUUGUUCCUUGUUGGAACAUGGAUAUUUUUGUUGGGAUAUCACAAUAUCUCUUAUUUAAUUAAUGCAUCUAUAUACUUGGUAAAGGGUGGAACGCUCGGCCUUUUGCCUGGUGUUUUGUUCCACUCUUGCCACCCUAGUUUCCGUCAUAUCGGUGUUAUGUUCCCAGAUUUUGCGUUCCUUACAUGGUUGGGUUAUAAUGGGAACCCCUUGACAGUUCGCCUUGAAUAAAACUCCUCCAACAAGGCCCAACAUUGGUUUUACCAUUUGCCACCUAGCCUUUUCUUUCCCUUGGGUAGGCCUGCCCAAGGGUUAUCUUUAUUUAAACCCCCGGGCCAGUGCUCCUCUGAGUGUUGGUCCAACCUGUCAGCAGCCGGUGGCCACCAGGGGCAACUCUGGGCUGGCCUACCGGAACCUUGGACAAUCCAGUGUGCCCUGAGAACGAGAUAUGUGCAGCUCCUAUCGGGAUUUGUCGGCACAUUCGGGUGGCUUUGCUGGUCUUGUUUUACCAUUGUCGAGGAUGUCUUGUAACCGGGAUGCCGAGUCUGAUCGGACUGUCUUGGGAGAAGGAAUAUCUUUCGUUGACCGUGAGAGCUUGUGAUGGGCUAAGUUGGGACACCCCUGCAGGGUUUUGAACUUUCGAAAGCCCUGCCCGCGGUUAUGGGCAGAUGGGAAUUUGUUAAUGUUUGGUUGUAGAAAACCUGAAGUUUAUCUUAAUUAAAAUACAUCAACCGCGUGUGUAGCCAUGAUGGUCUCUUCUCGGCGGAGUCUGGGAAGUGAACACGAUGUUGGAGUUAUGUUUGAACGUAAGUAGACUUGGAUCACUUCUUGAUCAUAGUUUCUCGACCGUGCUUUGCCUUCUCUUCUCGCUCUCAUUUGCGUAAGUUUAGCCACCAUAUAUGCUAGUCGCUUGCUGCAGCUCCACCUCAGACCUUUACCUUACCCAUAAGCUUAAAUAGUCUUGAUCGCGAGGGUGUGAGAUUUCUGAGUCCCCAUGACUCACAGAUACUUCCAAAACCAGAUUGCAGGUGCCGAGGAUACCGUGCAGAUGACGCAACCAAGCUCAAGGAGGAUCUCAAUGAAGAUCUUGUCAUUUGUGUUGUUUCAUUCUAGUUGAUCAGUAGUGGAGCCCAGUUGGGGUCGAUCGGGGAUCUGUGUAGCUUUUGGGGUAGUCUUCUUUUAUUUUGGUUCCGUAGUCGGACCUUGAGUGUAUCUGGAUGUAUGUAAUGCUUUAUUCAUGUAAUUGUGUGAAGUGGCGAUUGUAAGCCAACUAUGUAUCUCUUUUCCCUUAUGUAUUACAUGGGUUGUGUGAAGAUUACCUCACUUGCGACAUUGCUUUCAAUGCGGUUAUGCCUCUAAGUCAUGCUUCGACACGUGGGGGAUAUAGCCGCAUCGAGGGCGUUACAAGUUGGUAAUCAGAGCCUUCCCCGACUUUAGGAGCCCCCUGCUUGAUCGAAUCGCUGGCGUUGUUGAGUCUAGAAAAUUGUUUUGAGUCAUUUAGGAUUAUAUAUAUCGGAGAGUAGGACCUCUUUUUACUCCUUAGUCCCUUCGUCGCUCUGGUGAGGCAUCCUGACGUAGAGUUUUGACUAUUCUGUUCUCAAAUUUCACUAAUUUUUUUUAGGAUCACGCGGGUAUCUUGGAAUCGUUCCAAUGAUUUUGUGACAAGAACAUUGUUCUUGGUGCCUCCUGACAUUUAGGGGUUGUGGCAGUGUCCCGGGGAGUUGAGCUCCGAGGUGUUGUCGUCACAAUUUUAUCGUUGCAGUUCUGGAAUACCUGAGUUUCGCCGACAUCGAAAAUCUCUUUUAUGCAGUUGUUGGUGAGAUAACCUCGACGCCACCCAGUACUGGGGCGGGAGUUCGGGAGUAUUGCCAUAACUCGUAUAACGGGUGCUUUUCGAAGGUUGAGGUAAAUGAUUUCCGAAGGUUUCUUGGUUAUGUGUUGAAGGAUGGAUAUAGCUGGACGUAGGAUUUGCUAGUUUUGGGUGAGAUAUUAUGCUUCCCCUGUAUCCCCAACACCUGAUUGCAUAACCGGAAAGUUUCAGGAGUUUAUAAGUGGGAAUUCAAGUAGCUCCUAGGAUAUCUUUCCGACAGAUGUGUGAUAUGAAGUUGGGGUUCGACGUCUAGUGGUCCGCCUAUCCACGGUUGGUUUUACAGUGGUCUCGUUGUGUGUUAAAGAGUCCUUGGCUAUGCUGACUCGGGGACGCUUCGUAUGUCAUGUGCACUGCCUUGUACAUGAUGGUGUUGUACGAUCAAGCCCGUGUAGGCCCCACCACGAAAACUUCGGACGAAAUCUCUAUCAUAUGUUUGUUCCGGCUUAUUUUGCAAGCCAAUCCUUUGUUUUGUUUUUGAGUUGUGAUAUUCGAGUUGCUUCGAAGUCAAGUGUUGAUUCCAUACCUUUCCUAAACGGUGUUCUCAUACUCCGAUGUGAAUACUAAUCCUUCAUGAUAAUCGAGAUUGUCAUGUCAAUCCUUUUCAACCGGCGCGUUUCCCUUCAAGUGGAUCCGAUCAUUUCAUCAUCCGCAAGAUCAACUCAAGCAUUCAUAUCGGUGUUCGUUUCAUUCUCAACUGUGUUUUCCCACCCUCCCACCCUUGUUUUUCUUGAAGGAUUCAGAUUUCUUGAUCAAGUAUCCAUCUUAUUGAUGUGAAGUCUCUCCAUUCUUUUCCUUCAAUGUUCUUAUCCGGUGAUUCUCAUGAAGAUACUAACGGAGCCUCAAGUUCAUCAUUAUUUGUUUUUUUCUUCUCCGGUAGAACCAAUUCAAGCUUUUGGUGUUGAUCAUAUCAUUUCCUCGUUUCAAAUACCUACUCAUGCCGGUGCUCAUCAUAUUCAUUCAUUUCUCGCUAUUCAAUUAUUCCGGAGUGCUGAAGAUAUCUCGAAAGGCUCGUCUUGUCAUUCAAGAUCCGUUCAACCUAUUUCGAGGUUGUUAUCCCAUUCAAGCCAUUUGAAUCAACCGGUGCAAUCUCUUUUCAAAAUUGUUCAAUGGUAUAUCUUUUGAGUGGGCCCUAACCCACAGGUGUUUUCCCAGGAUCUUACCUGACUCUUCUAAUUUUCACCGGAGGUAUUCUCAAAUUCUUUCCAAGUUUGACGUAAGAAUGUUUUGUCAUCAGUCAUAUGUGUCUCUCCAAGAUCUUUCAAUUCUUUUCAUCAUUGGUUCAACCUUUCCAAUUUUAAUUCCGGAGUGCCUCAAUAAUUCUUGGUGGUGUUUCUCGUCGUCAUUCUCAACACUUGAAGACCGAAGAAGAAUUUUCCUCCAUAUCUUACUCCAUUUUCUUCAAGAUUCGUGGGUCUAGCUUCAUGCCAUCCUCUCAUAAUUGUUUUCGAUUGUCAGAAUUAUUUUCACCCAUCCGGAGCAAUUCAGGAGUCAUUCAGUUUGUUUCUCCGGAGCCCAUAAUCUCAGAAUUAUUCAUUUCCAGCUUUCAGCUCUCGUUCUCUAAAUCUUACCGGUGCAUCAUUCAAGUAUCCUCUAAUCAGCUCGUGAUCUCUUUGUUCACUUGCAUCUAAAUUCUCUCAAGUAUCUUCGUUCUUUUUAUAAUUCUUUCGGGUGUUUCUUUAUCUUUUCUUCGUUCAUUUGCUAAUUCUUACCGGUGAUUCACCCCUUUACUUCGUUCGUUUUCAAUUCUUACGGUGGUUCGUUCAAGAGUUCUCUUCCUUGGUUAUCAUAUCAAUUUAUUCGUUCUUACAAAUUCUACCGGUGAUUCGUUGAAUACAUUCUCAAGUUUAUAUUAUAUCUCUCUUAAUCUUUUCUACGAGAAUAAGUAAUAUGUCAAAUCCGUUGAUUGUCAUCAAUUUAAUUGGUGAAGGAUAAGCAUAAUGUAAUUCUUCUUCUUGUUUCAUCGAGUGAACUCAAUUCCCUAUUCCGGAGGCUCAUCAAAUUCCUGAUUUCAAUUGUUUCAUCUUCUCUUUUUCCCGGAGUUCCAACCUUUUUUUCAAUUAUUUCACCACAGAGAUUCAUCUAAAUCGGUACAAGGAUUCACCUUGUGUUUUCAACUUCUCUUUCAUUCUGUUUGAUCAUUCUUUAUUACCAGAGUUCUUCAUGGAGGCUCUACAUGAUGGCUCAUCAAGGAUUUAAUUCCUCUCGAAGUGUUCAUUGAGUUUUUUUAGAGGAGCUCAAGUAUUCUUCAUAUUGCAUUCCGAAGUGAAAUUCGUUCUACCUUAUCUUUUGAGGUGGUGUUAAGUCAUUUUUGACAAUUGCUUGGUGUUUCAUGAUUCACAUGUUGUCAAGAAUGAGAUAUCUUAAAUCCAUCAAUCGCGUCAUUGGAGUUAUGUUGGGUUAUUUUCCACCUAAAGCCUUCCCUAAGGAUUGUUGCUAUUUAUGGUGCUAUAAAUGAUCCAAGUUCUUCAUUUAUCCUCCCGGUGAAAUAAGUUUCUCGUCUCCUUGUUGAUAUCAAUCCAAUCUUUUUCCGUGAGUGGCAUAAUUUCACUUCAUAGUUUUGAGAUGUUUUUACAUAAGACCACAACAACCUUAUUCUUUUGUUGUUUAAUUUUCAACAACUCCAUUCAAUCCUUCUUUCUAAGGACGCUUUCAAAUUCAUUCGACGUAGAAAAUGUUGUUUUCUUCUUUGUUACUUUUAGUCUGUUCUAUCUUUUGUUCCGGAGGCAUUGUGAUGUGGCUCUCUUCAACCCAUCAUCUUGUUUGUCAAGAUCUUGUUCAAUUCCUUUCAUUUAUAGUCAAAGUGCUGUCCAAAUUAUAUCAGUCUUAUUCUUUCUCUAUCUUGGUUUAACUGGAGUGUUAUGUCUAUCAUUCCUCUUCUAACCGGAGUCUCAUCCAAGUGCUUUAUUUUGCCAAGUUCAUAUUAUUGCCUUCCAUUUCCAACCGAAGUGUUGUCGUAUUUCAUCUCUGUCGUUCCUUGUACUUCUCGUUUCAAUCGGAGUGCUUGGAUGCACUUCUUGCCCAUUGCAACCCUUUUCUCAUGUCUUUCAACCUACAGGGUUCUCGUGAUGUUCCUUGUUCCUCUUUUCUAACGGAGGUUUUCAACUUUGUUCAUCUUCGUUGUAUUCUGUCUUUCAAUUUUUUCAACCUCUCAAGGUUCGUUGUUUCACUCAAUUGGCAAAGAAGCAACUUAGUUUUUACCGCUUAUCUUCCUUUUCCAUUGUCCCUCCGAUGCCAUUAUAGAUCUCGGGACGAGAUCCUCUCGUAGUGGUGGAGUGUUGUGACGCCCCGAGACAGAUAUGCCAGGUGUCUUCCAGUUAUUCGCUGUUGUUGUCUUGUCAUUCGCUUGCGUGUUGCAUCUUGUCAUGUCAUCAUGUGCAUUGCAUCAUCACAUUUUCAAAACUUGCAUCCGUCCCGGUCUCCUCGUUCUUUCUGUUGUUCGUUCUGAGCCAGACCACACUUGCACGCGCCCGCGGCUUGUCCGAAAUAGUAUUUUAUAAGUGGCCGGAAAAUGUUCUCGGAUUGGGUCGAAAGUUGGCAUGUGGUCUUAUUAUAAUGUAGAUAGACCGCCUGUCAAGUUUCAUCGCAUUCGGAGUUCGUUUGAUAGCCCAACCAUUAAACUAUAGCGGCAUUAUAGCCGUUCUAACAUCGGACGUUUUUGGUCUCCGAAAAUAGUCGCCGGGCCUCUCUCUCUUCUCUUCUCUUCUCUCAGCUCGAGCCCUUCUGCAUAGCCCACAAGUUCCAACCGACCCCUCGCGUGCGUGUCCGAAACUUCCCCGGACCCGACCCGGACAGUUGUCACCGUUGGGUCCAGAUCAUCCCCAAACAUCUACAAAACAUCUCCGUUUCUUAUUUAGAUUUUCCUAGCCUAUCUAUUCUCGACCGUCGGAUUUUGAUCGGAUGAUCCAACUCCUUUCUUUUCCAUAUAUAUAUAGUCUAUCCCUAGUCCAUUUUGGACAACCCUAAUUUCUAGGGUUCCUACCCUAGCGACGCCGCCCACUUUCUCCUCAAUUUCAGCGCCAGGCCAAUCACCUCACUCCGUCCAUCUCCCUCGAUUUGCGUCGCCGCCCAACCACUGCGAAAGCCGAAGCCUCCAUCUUCCCCGAUCCAAAAGCCUCCACCUCCUCCCUUCGAUUCGUUGUCGUACAGAUCGAGCAGGAGGCUCGAUCCCCAGCCACCUCUCUGCCCGAACCCCUCCUAUGCUCCCAGAUGCCUGCACCCCGCUAAUCCCCGCGCCGCCCCGUCGCUCGCUGGAGACUAGGGUCGCCGGAGGCCGCGACCACCUCUCUGUCUAGCAGGUUCAUCACGUCGGACUCCGCCGACUCGCCAGACUCCACGUGCAGGCCUGGCUCGAUGCCCCUCUCCUUCCCUUUCGUCUCGCUCUCGCCCGUUCACCAUCUCCCUCUCUCCUGCAGGAACCCGGGAGCUCGAAGCCAUGACCACCGUCGCCUCGGAUCCUUCUCAUCUGUCGCCGGAGCUCCGUCCACUGCUGCAUCGCCCGGAUUCGGUCGUGCGGGACCGGAUCCAUGUAUUCCCGCUUCGUCUCUGGCCCUAGUUGCCUCCCAGCGCCCUCCCUCAUCGCCGGAGUUUGCCGGCGUCGUUAGCUUCAGUUCCCUGCUCCAGAUCGAGCGAACGAGAAGACCGCGCGCGUUGACCCUGCGCUCAAGGCCCGCCUCCAGUGUCAUCGUGGGCCGCGUGAGCAAGGCCUAGCCCAGCCGCUGAUAGAUCCUAACCGCACCACCGAACGGGCCAAGCCCGUGGGUGAGCAGGCCCUCCCUCCAGCCUCCUGUGCAUCUGGACCAGCAGUUUUGGCCCAUGUCAUGUUUUUUUCCUCUAGACGAUUUUGUCUAUUAUCCAGAGUUUUGCCAGUUUUACAGUAUAGCCCCUAAACAUCAUGCAUUUUAUAACUCUCCAACCGUGCAUCGGAUUAAAACAAACUUAAUAUGAAACUUGCUUAGAAUUUCAUCUACUUUAAUAAUAUGCAAAUUUCAUCUAUGUUUAAAAUGUUUAAAAAUACUUUUUGAUUAAAUUUGCUCCUAUGCCAUGUUAAAAAUGAUUUAAUUCAUAACUAAAUAACCGUAGCUCCGAUUUUAAUAAACUUUAUAUGUAAAUGGGGUGGAAAAAUGUCUAGUUUAUCAUGGUGAAAUCACUUUGCAUGUUUAGCAACUCUAAAAUAUGGUUUAGGGGAGAGCAGUACCAAAUCUAUAAUAUGCUCAUGAGGAGUUUCCGGCCUCAUUUAAACUUGCCUAAAUAAGUAGUUUUGUUGUGUUUCACCCCCUGCCAUGUUAAGAACAUUUAAUAUUGUUGGGUACAUAACGAGAUCGAACUAAAUAAUGGAACGUGGUGUUUCGUCAAUAUGCAAUGGAGUUGCAUAUUGAGCUCCACUUAAUUUGUAGGGUUGUUUGUGCACUUUGCCAUGCCAUGCCUCAUUAAACCGGACAUGCAUCAUACUUGAUUGUGCAUCAUGCCAUGUUCAUGUGUUGGUCGUUUACUAUGUUGUGUGCUUCUUUCCGGUGUUGCUUCUUCAGGUUGGUUCCGAUAACGUCGCGUUUGUGAGGACCCGUUCGACUACGUCCGUUUGUCUUCUUCAUGGACUCGUUCUUCUUCCUUGCGGGAUUUCAGGCAAGAUGACCAUAUCCUCGAAAUCACUUCUAUCUUUGCUUGCUAGAUGCUCGCUCUUUUUCUAUGUCUAUGCUGCGAUACCUACCACUUGCUUAUCAUGCCUCUCAUAUUGUUAAGCCAAGCCUCUAACCACCUUGUCCUAGCAAACCAUUGUUUGGCUAUGUUACCGCUUUGCUCAGCCCCUCUUAUAGCGUUGUUAGUUGCAGGUGAAGAUUGGAGUUUGUUCCUUGUUGGAACAUGGAUAUUUUUGUUGGGAUAUCACAAUAUCUCUUAUUUAAUUAAUGCAUCUAUAUACUUGGUAAAUGGUGGAAGGCUCGGCCUUUUGCCUGGUGUUUUGUUCCACUCUUGCCGCCCUAGUUUCCGUCAUAUCGGUGUUAUGUUCCUGGAUUUUGCGUUCCUUACACGGUUGAGUUAUAAUGGGAACCCCUUGACAGUUCGUCUUGAAUAAAACUCCUCCAACAAGGUCCAACAUUGGUUUUACCAUUUGCCACCUAGCCUUUUCUUUCCCUUGGGUAGGCCUGCCCAAGGAUCAUCUUUAUUUAAACCCCCGGGCCAGUGCUCCUCUGAGUGUUGGUCCAACCUGUCAGCUGCCGGUGGCCACCAGGGGCAACUCUGGGCUGGCCUACCGGAACCUUGGACAAUCCGGUGCGCCCUGAGAACGAGAUAUGUGCAGCUCCUAUCGGGAUUUGUCGGCACAUUCGGGUGGCUUUGCUGGUCUUGUUUUACCAUUGUCGAGGAUGUCUUGUAACCGGGUUGUCGAGUCUGAUCGAAUUGUCUUGGGAGAAGGAAUAUCCUUCGUUGACCGUGAGAGCUUGUGAUGGGCUAAGUUGGGACACCCCUGCAGGGUUUUGAACUUUCGAAAGCCCUGCCCGCGGUUAUGGGCAGAUGAGAAUUUGUUAAUGUCCGGUUGUAGAAAACCUAAAGUUUAGCUUAAUUAAAAUACAUCAACCGCGUGUGUAGCCGUGAUGGUCUCUUCUCGGCGGAGUCUGGGAAGUGAACACGAUGUUGGAGUUAUGUUUGAAUGUAAGUAGACUUGGAUCACUUCUUGAUCAUAGUUUCUCGACCGCGCUUUGCCUUCUCUUCUCGCUCUCAUUUGCGUAAGUUUAACCACCAUAUAUGCUAGUCGCUUGCUGCAGCUCCACCUCAGACCUUUACCUUACCCAUAAGCUUAAAUAGUCUUAAUCGCGAGGGUGUGAGAUUGCUGAGUCCCCGUGACUCACAGAUACUUCCAAAACCAGAUUGCAGGUGCCGAGGAUACCGUGCAGAUGACGCAACCAAGCUUAAGGAGGAGCUCGAUGAAGAUCUUGUCCUUUGUGUUGUUUCGUUCUACUUGAUCAGUAGUGGAGCCCAGUUGGAGUCGAUCAGGGAUCUGUGUAGCUUUUGGGGUAGUCUUCUUUUAUUUUGGUUCCGAGUCAGACCUUGAGGGUGUGUUUGCUUGUUCUCACGAAGUGGAAUGGCAUGGGUCGGUUCCAUCCCCGGGGCCCGUUCCCGUGUUUAGAUUGCCGAAGGAAUCACAACCCACCGAUUCCAGGGAAGGACAUAUUCCCUGUUUAUGCCGAACCUGGACGUUCCUGCAAAUCGGCCGGACCACGCGGAAUGCCUCACUCGCGUCUCCCUCCCCUUCUCCCCGACUCACCAACCCGGCGCCCCAACCACCCCGACCUGUGCCCUCCUCUCUCCCUCGAUGGCCAUGGCGGCGGCCGGAAGUGCAGCCUCGUCGGCAUCUCCCGCCCGUCGCACCCCCCACCCACCACCUCGACCUAGGAUCUAGCGAAAGAGGGAGGCGAGCACUCUGCUCCAUGGCGCAAUCCUCGAGAUCCAUCGGCGGAAGGAGGCCGGGAGGCCACGCUGCCGCCGCGCUCGCGGGGCACACUGGGAAAUGUCGCGCUGCCGCUCUUGACGGACCAGAGGCUCCAAGCGCUGGCCUUGAUGGAGUAGGCGAUCCAAGCUGCGUGCGCCGUGGUGAUAGGAAGGGCGCCGCUGUUGAUCUUGUGGAUUGGAGGAGCAAGGCUGCGGUCAAGACCGGACUAGCAGGCUGCAUUUUUUGCUUGUAGCAAUCAGACAGAUGCAGACUUUGGUAUUUGGGUAGUUACUGUCUUGUGUUUAACUCUGAUUCUUUUCUUCUCUGUUUCUCUGCGAUUUGUUUUUGACAGAGCAUGUUCAAGCCUACGGUAUAUGAAUCGUUGAUGCUCGCACCGCUGUUCUGAAAUACUAGUAGUAUAGUUCAAUUUUUAUCUGCCUUUGACUGAAACCAAUUCGAUUCAUAGUGCGAUGAAUAAACCCAUCUCAUUCCAUCUCACAAACCAAACGCCAAAACGUAACCAUUCCAUUCCUCCGAAUUGCCACUACCGAACACAAGAAUGGAACCGACCCAUUCUAGUGGAAUGGAACUAUGACAUUCCAUUCCACUUCAUUCUCGAACCAAACACACCCUGAGUGUAUCUGGAUGUAUGUAAUGCUUUAUUCAUGUAAUUGUGUGAAGUGAUGAUUGUAAGCCAAUAUGUAUCUCUUUUCCCUUAUGUAUUACAUGGGUUGUGUGAAGAUUACCUCACUUGCGACAUUGCUUUCAAUGCGGUUAUGCCUCUAAGUCGUGCUUCGACACGUGGGGGAUAUAGCCGCAUCGAUGGCGUUAUAGCGUGGGACUCCGUCGCUCGCGCCUUGAGCAUCCUUGUGUGAUGGCCGCCGCCCUCGCAUCAGACGAAAAUCCUCUUUGAGCCGGCAUCGAGUGCAGCACACGACCACCGCCGCUAUGCCUGCAAAUAUGCCGACACACUUGAAUAUCCACUCUUGUGCCACCCUGAUCUCCUUAUUGCGGUUAUCGAGGGCCGCCAUCCCCACCACAAUGACCAACGGAGGCCACCGCCCCCGCCGCCAUGGCUACCCAUCAAGGUUGUCAGAAAUCGUGAUUCUGUUAUACGAUUCUAUGACUUUACGAUCCAAACUAACCCCUAUGAUUCUACAAUUUUAGGUCUUAGAAUCUACGUUUCUACGAUCCUGAUAGUGAAGAUUCUACGAUUUGCAAUCCUACCAUCGAAGCUCCGAUCGAUUCAAAAUCGCGAUUCUGACAACCUUGCUAGCCAUGCAUCCGUUGCCGACGAUGUUGUGCGUGUCGUCGUCUCUGCGAACGCUGGCAACACCAUCUUCACCUCUCUCGCUCAUCGAUCCUCAUGUACAAAAUGCAACCGUCAUCAUGUACAUCCGUGUAUGUACGUAUAGUAAUCUUCUGUUAGAGAUAUGACAAACAAUAGAAACGAAGAAGAUCAAAUAAACACAGAGAACACAUGAUUUUAACGUGGGAAAACCCCUCCAAUGAGAAGGGUAAAAAACCACGGGCACCAAUCAGUGAAACUUAGGGAGAUGUUACAAACGCCGGGGAUUUUCAACAAUGAUUAUUUCGUGCGACGGCUUACAAGAGGUACGUAAUGUGAUGACCUAGGUCGNNNNNNNNNNNNNNNNNNNNNNNNNNNNNNNNNNNNNNNNNNNNNNNNNNNNNNNNNNNNNNNNNNNNNNNNNNNNNNNNNNNNNNNNNNNNNNNNNNNNNNNNNNNNNNNNNNNNNNNNNNNNNNNNNNNNNNNNNNNNNNNNNNNNNNNNNNNNNNNNNNNNNNNNNNNNNNNNNNNNNNNNNNNNNNNNNNNNNNNNNNNNNNNNNNNNNNNNNNNNNNNNNNNNNNNNNNNNNNNNNNNNNNNNNNNNNNNNNNNNNNNNNNNNNNNNNNNNNNNNNNNNNNNNNNNNNNNNNNNNNNNNNNNNNNNNNNNNNNNNNNNNNNNNNNNNNNNNNNNNNACGUCCCCCACCCCAAGCGUCCCUGGUAGGUGAUCAGACUCCGCUUUGUUACCGUCCAAGCCUUCUGGUGACAGGGCCCGCACUGCUCUGUUAGAAUUAGCCUUUAUAUGAAUUUGGAUCACAACUCAACAGCCUCAACAGCCGUGAUUGGGAUCCAGACGAGAAGGACUCUGGCCGCCACGCCAUCCAACCUUAAUGGCAAUGAACGGGAGCAUCUUCACGACGGGCCUCCGCUCUGCUCCGUGAGAAUUUAGCCUUCAUAUGAAUUCUGAUUAUAACUCAACAUCUUCAACGAGAGACAGACGUAACAGAUUAACGGACGCAGAAGCACGUUUAGCGACGGUGAUCUCUGAACCAGGAUGUCUGGCAUGGCGACGAAAGUUGCGAAGAGAGAGCCCACCGGACACUUUUGCGCACGACAACGCACACUGACAGCGACCAAGAAAAUCGUCGGAAUAUCCCCCUCCCCUAAACAAAUAUCGACAGGGGUACUGUACUGGGGUUUUGUCGCGUCGAUCUUACGGGCCCACCUGUCCAGGCCAGAUUUUGGCGACCGACCAGGGAGAAAACCCAGCCGCUCCGAGUCGGAGGGAGUGGCCUUCACGGUAGGUGAGACGUUACCGUGGCCUUCGCUGGUUCAAUUACUCAGCCGCGCGGGCGUGUCAAGCUGCAGCUAUCAAAUUAUUGACUAACUUGCGCCAUAUGGACCAUCUGAGCUCCAAUUCUCCAGUGCAUGCGUGAACUACCACCACCCUAGCAGGAAGGAGUAGCUUGCAGUUGCAGCCCGGCUCUGGCUCUGGCUCUGGCUCUACCGAGGAAUGUCUGAUCUGAGCUACAUGUACAUAAUUAACAAUCAAUUUCAUGCGGAGGAUUUUUACGUUAAUUAAGACGGCACGCUGGCCCCAUGAGACAUGUCGACGUCGAAUUGUCGACCCUCUUUAGUUGGCUUUUACGCCUCGAGGCCAUAUGUAUGCAUGUAACGUAAUUAAAAACAAACCACGAGCCACACAGGAUGUAAAGCGUGGCCAUCCAUUUAAUUAAGAAGGCGCUGCCGGCCUGCCACGUAACCGGCCACGUCGCUGUUGUGUGCAGGACCUCCACAACUACAUGCCCGCUGGGCCAGCUGAACAAAAGGAUCGACGAUACUGCAACUGUACGCGCAACUACCGGACGCAACGCAAUGCAAUGCAACACCGUACGUACUACGUAGACGGCGACCCAAUGGACUGGAUCCUAGCUACCGGCGCUGAUCCAUCUAGCUAAGGUAGUACACGCAACUACUGUACUACUCCCUCCGUCCGGAAAUACUUGUCAUCAAAAUGAAUAAAAGAGGAUGUAUCUAGAUGUAUUUUAGUUCCAGAUACACCCCUUUUUGUUCAUUUUGAUGACAAGUUUUUUCGGACGGAGGGUACAUGAUGCAUGUAGUACUGUGCAUGCAUGUAGACAUCGAUCAAGGAGCUUUCGGGCUCUUCGGUUCCACUAAAGGCCCUUCACGUUGGCAUCACUAGGCAUGCAUUGCCGUUGCUCCGUUCGUUCGUUCGUUGAUCAAGAAACGUACUUCUCCGUAGUAGCGGCGUAGCUUUCCACGCUUGAUUGAAACGGACUGGCACUGGCAGCAUGGCUCGGCCAUGGACGCGCCACCCACCGCGCUAUACCUGGCAGCAGGAGCUCGUUUGUCGCUGGCCAUGGCUGUCGAACUGUAACCGCACAUGUUAAGCUAGCUAUAGCUACUGGUACUGGCACGCGAAUAUUCCGAUCGAAGCGCUUUCCGCUCCUUCCGAUCUGCCAGUAUCCAUUACUCUACUCGCGGCGGUCUUAGUUUACUCGCGCGGAUCACAUGAGGAGGUAUCUUCUUCAGUGCAGAUGCUGAUCAGGGCUCGAUCGGCGUGCAUGUGGCCACCGCGCCAGCUCGCAUGCAUCAGCGGAAGCUUUUGCGCUUGCUUAUGCCCUAAUGAUGCCGUCUUUUGCUUUUGUCUGGUGGGGCUAAACAACGCCGAGAUGAGACGAUGGGGGGCGAUAUUUUAUGGGCGCGCGCCCCACGCAGUCCCUAGUAUUUUUUCUCCCGGUCUUCUGUACUGUAGCUCGCCGAUCGAGCCGUGACCUACAUACAUGUAGGUCUACGCGACGAGCAUUCGAGAAGCGCUUAAUCAAUUGACAGGUACGGCACACGUACGCUCGCAUGAUCGUAUCUGGAAAUACUGCGCCGAUCUGGUCAGCGCGCGGAUCCUCCUGCACUGUUUUCUGUUGAUGCAUCUCGUCACCUUCCUUUGGUUGCAUCGUUUAUUUUAGGGUUUUAGUCUUCCCAUGCAUGCUAUUCUCACUGGACUAAACCAAUUCUUUUCCAUCAUUUCUAGAGACUACUACUUCUGAAUUGUUUUUCACAGCCAUAUUGAAUGGAGCCACUGCAGAGUGAUAGAUAUAUUUAACGGAACUCCUUGCUUCCAUCGCAUUAUUGCAACCCCACCUGUCUGUUG